AGAAAAGAUUUUGCUUGGCUAAACCCUGAAUUAAAUAAUAGUGCCUAUACUACUAUUCUGAGUUUCUAGCUUUCUGCAUUCUCUGAUGUAAUGAAAAAUUCAAUGUACUUCUCUGCAGCAGAAGCCAGAGGUCAUCAAAUCUAUUACAGUAAUUUCAAAGGUUACGGAGAGAGGAUGGUCCUGAUUCAGCAACUGCACACUGAAUACCGAUGCUCUGUAUCAUGAAACAAACAGGCCUACCACCUCUUUGAUUUUGGAGAGAACUGCCACUCGCCCACAGAACCUCACCUUAUUACCCUGUAAUGACAGGUCGGUUCAAAAUAAGUCUGACUUGAUUAUGGAUGAAGGAGCUCAUCUGAUAUCAUUUGCCUCAAUUCACCUGGAGCAGGUUUCAGUAAAGUAUUCUAGAUGGCAGAAGAAGAAGGAUGGCAGAAGAUGGCAGAUGCUCACCCAAACAUCUCUUAUCCCUGCAGUCUACAUGUGUUAGGCAUUUAAGUUGCUCUUGCUUGUUUCACCAGUUUGCAUCAGACCACACAUGCUGUCUCAGAGGCAAGUUCUGAGUUUGGGGGCUUACUCCAAAAUGUGGAUAGGACUGCAGCCAUAAUGCAUUACAUAAGAAUGAACGAACAAAAUAAUAUUAUUAAAUCACCCAAUAGUUAAAAACUAUUUUGCAGAAACUUGCAAGUUUUCAGGUAACAGAAUUUAAAAGAAAACUGAAAGUCUAAGUAAAACAAUGACAUUUGCAUUAAUUCUUGCCUAAAGCUAUAAAAUCAUUUAGGCUGACAUAGCAAAUACUGCUAAGGUAUUAGAAAGAGAGCAAAAAAUGCCAAAUGGCAUUGCUUCAGUUUAGAGUCCAGUUAAAUGCAUGAAAGCCACUUGAUAGUUGUGUAUAUACAUUAUUUAAUAUCCAGUUUACUUCAAAGUCAGUUCAAUAUUUAGGCAGCCAAAUGUUUAUCUGGAUUUGAAAUGUAUUUACUUGGGACUAAAAAAUAAUAUAUUGAUCCCCACAAUAUUACAUUGUUCAAUACAGUACAAUUGAAAUAUUGGAUUAAACUAUAUACUGUAUAUGCUAUAUACAGUACAUCCUAGUAUAGUUUGCAUUUUACAAGCUGAGAUAUUUCUGGCUGACACUGGAAAUUCCACCUGCCUUUCCACAGUCUGAAGUAGGUGUGUGUGAAUGCCUGCACUCCUCUAAUGCGUUGCAUGUGUGGCUUGUCCUGUUUUCAUAUUUACAUUCUUGACUGCCACUUCAAAUUUCUCCCUCACCCUCACAUUUUAAGCCUUGUUCAAAUGUGUGAAGAUAGAACUCCCACAAAUCUACAUCCCAUGCCUUAUUCUCUGCUCAGAUGCUGCUAUUUUGUCAUUGGUACUGCACAAUGGAUGUAAUCUGUGUGUCAUGGACUACAUUGUAUACCAAAUUUCAGCUCACUGGCAAACAUCCACUUUAACGCUGUGCUUGUGUAAGGUUGUCACACUAGUUUGCACUCCCAAUUAGUGCUGCAUGUUUGCAACACAUACAUGCUUGCACUCGCACAAGGUGCCCAACCUGUGGUAGAUCUCAUACAUUUUGCAGACAACUGUUGCACAAUAGUGCAGCCAUGGUUCUGAAAAUCCCUGUGAUUUAGUGCAACUACACAAUCUUCUUGCAUUAGCAUAAUUUUGUUCACUGUGCAAGUGCAGUGUUAGCAUGUUGGACUCUGUCUGUGGUGGAAAUACCUUAACCAUUUUGAUACCACGGUCAGUACCAAAGGGAUGAGGGUACUUCUGCAACAGAUAGGAAAGAGUAGUCCAAGAUGUCCGGAUUACUAGCAAGUCUAAACACAUUUUUUUAAAUUGUCAUUUGAAACGGAGCCAUGGCAUCUCCAGUGUACUAUACAGACUGAUAUUGCAGAAGAUGUGCCCAUCGCUAGUAGAAAAAGAAGGAAAUGAAUAUCUGUGCAGGGAGUGACAAGGGUGAAUAGGAUUGUAGUAAGAAUGGAAGGCUGUGGGAGCUUCACAUUCAAAUAUUGUAACAGACCUGGGACUGAGGGAUGGGGAAUCUGUAGCCAGGAACCCCAAGAAACUGAAAGGGAGUGCAGGGAUUCCCCCUUCACACACAUUAACUGUCAUGGGAUUGAGGAGGAACUGCGUGUGUGUGUGUGUGUGAUGUUUUUCUAGGGUGUUUUUGUGCACAUGUGUGAGUGUUUCCAAAACUGUUCAGAAACCAUUCCUGUGCUCUGGUAUCACUAGCUGCCGGGUGGAGUUGUUCUGAUUUAUUUCUUUGGAAAUGUAUUCACAACCAAUGAAGAGACACAACUCCUUCUGUCUGGACAAUUGUGCCGGAAAAUAUAUAGAAGAGUACAUGAUCUUAAAGUGUAGAUUUUUCCCCCUUUUAAAAUUACUUCUGUUUAGGAAAUAUGAGCACUAAAAUACAUCAAAGUCUUCCCUUGUAAUCUUUUUCUUCUUUAAAUCCCUGUCAAAAAUAAUAUCCUGCUCAUUUAUAGAAUUAUGCCUAUUUAAUCAGGGAAAAUUAAAAUCGGUCAUCAUGCAUUUUCUGCAGAAGUAAGAACAAACCCUGAGUGCAAUCCACAUCUGAUUUGACAUAGUCAUCCCUACAACACACUGCGAAGAACAUUGUUCUAGGAGAAAACCAACGCUUUCUUAUCCCCAAUGAUAAAAGAUAGAAGUUAGAAUCACAAUCUGUUAAGAAUUUCAGAAAUGCAAAAGUGGUUCCAUUAGAACCACUUCACCUCCAUAAUGCAGGCACGUACUGUUUUUACUUUAAACCAUCACCCAAGGUAACUAUAGUGAAGCAUUAAAGCCUCAUGACCAAAAUAACAACUGGUACACUUUGUAUGUGUUGAAUCAUGCACAUAGCAACAGCUCCACAAUGGGAAAAUAUUAAUGCUUUUUAUAUUGGUAAUCAUCUGUAACAUGAGCAAUUAAGUACAGUACUAAUGGACUAUGGCCAAGAGGCUGGUACUAAUAUUAAAAACUGACAAAGAUGAAUAGGUUUGGAAGCAAACCUGGGCUGACAAAGACAUUUUUAUGAAGUGCUCGGACUGAUUUGAUUUAAACCAAUCAGAGAGGCAGCUUCAGACCAGUCAGCCCUACAGCGACAAUAAUGCAUUCAUGGGCAUUAUAUGAUUCCUGCUAUGCUUUAAAUAAAUACAUCCAUUGAUUCAAUUCAAAGCAACCUGCACUUCCAUUGUUGCACUCAUUAAUAAGGCAAAAGAAAGCCCAUACUGCAUAUCCAAAGAAACACUUACUGAACCCACUGGCAACAUCAACUUGAUUUUAAACAUGAAAACAUUUGCUGGAAAUGAGCCAUAUACAAUUAAAAAUGAAUAUAGUGAUAAUGCAUUAACAUCAUUUUUAAGUCUUGGAGGGGGGGAGGAGAGAGAAUGCACACUGUCUCAACAAUAAAGACAGUGCGGUUUUAUGUGUAAUCUGAAGAUUGGUAUUUUAGAAUGAUUUAAAAGAUGGGGAAAGUAGCCUUUUGCUGUCAAGACCAUCUAGCCCAAUAUUGUCAUUUCUUACUACCAGCAAUUCUUCUAUGUCUCAGGCAGAGGUCCUUCCUAGCCCUGCUACCUGAGAGCCAUUUGUUAAGAGAGGGAGAUGAUUAAAUCUGAGGCUCGCUGCAUUGCAAAGCACAUCUGGGCCACAGCUCCUUCUUUGGGUGCUCCAAAUUGUUAGUAACGGAGAAUUCAAAUGCUGAGAAAAUUCUAGCCCUAUUUAGGAGUUCACCCUGAACUGAAAGAGGUGGAAGGCCAAGAGUGCACUGACUAGCCAUGCCCCUCCGUCAACGCACUCCUCUAGCGACAUCUUCCACUCUGCUUGGGUUGAGUGCUUCCUCUGCAGACAA